UGGUGAUUGGCAGGCCGGCGUCUGGCAGGGCGGAUGCAGAUUCUCUGCGACGUGAUUGGCUGGGUUGGUCGUGGGGCGGGAAGAGAGGAAUACUUAGCUGGGGAUUCGCCGCCCAGAAGCGGAAGUCGGCUGCCGGCGUGCUUGAGCCGCGUGUGGAGAGAGAGAGAGAGAGGGAAGGAGGAGCGUUUGUCGCCCUGGCGUCCGUUCGCAGGCGCAGUGAAAGACAAAGAUGAAGACCCCCUGGAAGGCGUUGAAAGUGGUGAAGAGAUAGGCCAUGACCACGGACUCCUUAUUGAUGAAGAGCAGGCCAAAAGCCCAGGUGAGGCCCAGGAGGAAAAGCAGCGCAAUGGCCCCCAAGGCCCAGGAUCUGGGGAGGGGAGAGAGGACAGGGAUGUCAAAGUCCCUGCCAGUGGACAAACCUCUCUGCCCUGCUGUGUCCCUCUUCAGAGGGGUCUGGAUGCUGUUGGCAAAGAAACAGGCCUUGGGCGGAUCACCUACAGUGGUACUUUGACCCAGCCUGGGCCUGAGGUUGGGGUUUGGGGUUUUGCAAAGGUCAGUCAUUUGCCUUCAGCCUUGGGCCGAAUUUCCAGAUCCUUAAACUACCUUUUGCUGCUCAUUUCUCUUUAAAUUGCACUGAAUUGGACUUACCUUUUUAACUUGGCCUCACCCUAAGCAGUUAUGUCCCCCAAAGCACAGAUUGGAUAUGUUAAUAUGUUUUCUAAUACUUGUUAAGUACAUGAACAAGCACAAUAAAAACACAUUUGUCCUUAAAAA